rnacentral:rRNA from 1 species
UACGUAGGGUGCGAGCGUUAAUCGGAAUUACUGGGCGUAAAGGGCUCGUAGGUGGCCAACUAAGUCAGACGUGAAAUCCCUCGGCUUAACCGGGGAACUGCGUCUGAUACUGGAUGGCUUGAGUUCGGGAGAGGGAUGCGGAAUUCCAGGUGUAGCGGUGAAAUGCGUAGAUAUCUGGAGGAACACCGGUGGCGAAGGCGGCAUCCUGGACCGACACUGACACUGAGGAGCGAAAGCCAGGGGAGCAAACGGG